rnacentral:rRNA from 1 species
UACGUAGGGUGCGAGCGUUGUCCGGAAUUACUGGGCGUAAAGAGCUCGUAGGUGGUUUGUCGCGUUGUUCGUGAAAUUCCCUGGCUUAACUGGGGGCGUGCGGGCGAUACGGGCAGACUGGAGUACUGCAGGGGAGACUGGAAUUCCUGGUGUAGCGGUGAAAUGCGCAGAUAUCAGGAGGAACACCGGUGGCGAAGGCGGAUCUCUGGGCCAUUACUGACGCUGAGGAGCGGAAGCGUGGGGAGCGAACAGG